GACGAACGCUGGCGGCGUGCUUAACACAUGCAAGUCGAACGGAAAGGCCCUGCUUUUGUGGGGUGCUCGAGUGGCGAACGGGUGAGUAACACGUGAGUAACCUGCCCUUGACUUUGGGAUAACUUCAGGAAACUGGGGCUAAUACCGGAUAGGAGCUCCUGCUGCGUGGUGGGGGUUGGAAAGUUUCGGCGGUUGGGGAUGGACUCGCGGCUUAUCAGCUUGUUGGUGGGGUAGUGGCUUACCAAGGCUUUGACGGGUAGCCGGCCUGAGAGGGUGACCGGCCACAUUGGGACUGAGAUACGGCCCAGACUCCUACGGGAGGCAGCAGUGGGGAAUAUUGCACAAUGGGCGGAAGCCUGAUGCAGCAACGCCGCGUGCGGGAUGACGGCCUUCGGGUUGUAAACCGCUUUCGCCUGUGACGAAGCGUGAGUGACGGUAAUGGGUAAAGAAGCACCGGCUAACUACGUGC
rnacentral:rRNA from 1 species